rnacentral:lncRNA from 1 species
UAUUUAAGACUUCUUUUGGAUUUGAUUAAGAUUUAAUUAAAGUUUAUUUAAGUUUCUAUUAGAAUUUUUAAGAUCUUGUUGUUGUAUUUUCCAAUUUAUCUUUUACAAUUAAGUGCUCGGUGUAUUCUUAAGUAAGACUUUAAAUUAUACAACAAUGUAGUAUGCCCACAUUGAUACGUACCUUCAUCACCACAGCAAGUAAAAGAUCCAUGCCGAUUCUAACAUCUACUUUUUUUUCAACAAAACCUUUAUCGCUAUCUUCAUCUUAUAUGUAAAGGACUUCUUUAUUAUUAGAUCCAUUAUUGUGCACA